CUUUCCUGUAGUGUUGCGUUGAAUGUAGAAGAUCGUCAUACUAAUCAGUUCAUUAACAACGAUCAGAGGUUGAAAUGAGUAACUACUAUGUCGUAUUUGUGGGUAGAGUGCUAGGAAUAUAUGACAACUGGGAUGAAGCUCAGGAACAGGUUGAAAGAUUCAGCGGGUCCAGACACUGAUCGUUCAGAACGCACGGUGACGUUGUCAGAGAGUGGACCACAUUCAAAGCCACUCUGCAGCAACAUGGGUCGGGCAACACCAGUGGUGUACAUAAUAAGGUGUCAUCAAACAUGACAGUAAGACUGUCGGGAAGAGUUGAAGAUGGUUCCACUUCCGUUCAGCCCCCGUCAAGCACCGAUGAAGAUCGAAAUAGAGUGCAGGGCUCGGGUGUCUCAAAUUCAGACAUGAUUCGACAUACUGAUGACGAAGGGAUUAUGAAUGCCAUCAUCAAAAUUAUGAUUGGAGUCGUACUUAUAUAUGCAGUAGUUGCAUGGUUUAUUUCAAGUUUCUGAUGUGCGAAGAAAGCUGAGGACCUGCUUCGUCGUUAU